UUGUCAGGUGGGAUAAAUCCUCAUCUGUUCUUCCUUUUGGAGGGGAGAUUAGAACGUGAUGAUUGAUUUACAGCUGUGGAUGUGUAUCAUUUCAGAU
rnacentral:snoRNA from 1 species